GACGAACGCUGGCGGCGUGCUUAACACAUGCAAGUCGAACGGAAAGGCCCUGCUUUUGUGGGGUGCUCGAGUGGCGAACGGGUGAGUAACACGUGAGUAACCUGCCCUUGACUUUGGGAUAACUUCAGGAAACUGGGGCUAAUACCGGAUAGGAGCUCCUGCUGCAUGGUGGGGGUUGGAAAGUUUCGGCGGUUGGGGAUGGACUCGCGGCUUAUCAGCUUGUUGGUGGGGUAGUGGCUUACCAAGGCUUUGACGGGUAGCCGGCCUGAGAGGGUGACCGGCGGCAUGGGGGCUGAGGGGCGGCCGGGACUCGUACGGGAGGCAGAAGGGGGGAAUAGUGAGCACGGGGCGGAAGCAGGAUGCAGCGGGGCCGCGUGCGGGAUGACGGCCUUCGGGUUGGAAACCGAUAUCGCCUGUGACGAAGCGGGCGUGACGGUGAUGAAUAAAGAAGCACCGGCUGACGACGUG
rnacentral:rRNA from 1 species